GCUUGUCUCAAAGAUUAAGCCAUGCACGUCUAAGUAUAAAUAUUUCACUUUGAAACUGCGAAUGGCUCAUUAUAUCAGUUAUAGUUUAUUUGAUAGUCCCUUACUAUUUGGAUAACCGUAGUAAUUCUAGAGCUAAUACAUGCGUCAAUACCUUUCGGGGUAGUAUUUAUUAGAUUGAAACCAACCCCUUCGGGGUGAUGUGGUGAUUCAUAAUAAGCUUGCGGAUCGCAUUCGUGCGAUGGAUCAUUCAAGUUUCUGCCCUAUCAGCUUUCGAUGGUAGUGUAUUGGACUACCAUGGCAGUAACGGGUAACGAAGAAUUAGGGUUCGAUUUCGGAGAGGGAGCAUGAGAAACGGCUACCACAUCUAAGGAAGGCAGCAGG
rnacentral:rRNA from 1 species